rnacentral:rRNA from 1 species
UACGUAGGGACCGAGCGUUGUCCGGAAUCAUUGGGCGUAAAGAGCGUGUAGGCGGCCACUUAAGUCCUGCGUGAAAUCUUGCGGCUCAACCGCAAGCGGUCGUGGGAAACUGGGUGGCUAGAGUGCGGGAGAGGAGAGUGGAAUUCCUGGUGUAGCGGUGGAAUGCGCAGAUAUCAGGAGGAACACCGGUGGCGAAGGCGGGUCUCUGGGCCGAUACUGACACUGAGGAGCGAAAGCGUGGGGAGCGAACAGG